rnacentral:lncRNA from 10 species
AGAUUAAAUUUGAAAAGACAUACGAAUAGUCAUAACAAAGAGGAAAGUAUUAACGCUACGUCGAUACCACUUUACUAUUAUUGUCUCUUCUCCUGUUCCCCUGACACAUCUCAAGUGAGAGCAGGCCCAGGCCAAAUCUGCAGAAAUUCAGUUUUAUUCUUGCUAAGCAGCAGUCCUACCUGAUGCUCUCCAGUCGGUAAGGGCAGGGCCCUCCUCUCUCCACCUGAGCUGUGGGAGGCAGGAGGCAAAAGGCCAGUCCCAGAACGGGAACCACGGAGCUGUCUCCUUCUCCAUCUGUCUCUGGGGGAGUGCUCUUGGCAAGGAGCAACCGUUCCAAAGGCAAAUGUCCAAGGUGAAAUCCAUCACGGGGCCCUGGACUGGGAAAAGAUAGAGGAAAGUAAAUCAAGCCUCUCUGAGAUAAGAAGACACAGCCUGGAGCAUUUAAAAAAUGCAACUCUACCAGCUGCCCACUUUUGCGAAGUUUUAAGGCAGAGGACUAUGCUAGGUUUCAAAAGAUUGUGACUUCCGUUCUGCUGGCUGACCCUCUCUCCAGCCUUCUCAGCUUGCAUAUCUCCAUGAAGCAAGCUGCCAUGUUGGCAAGACCUACGUGGCAAGGAUUUGAGAGCAUCCUCUGGCCAGCAGCAAGCUAGGAACCGAGGCCCUCAGUCCAACAACCAUCAAGGGACUGAAUUCUGCCAACAAACAUGUGAACUUGGAUGUGGAUCCUUCCCCAGGUGAGCCUUCAGACGAAAUGCCAACCCUGGCCAAAAUUUUGGUUACAGCCUUGUGAGAGAUUCUAAAGAAAGGACCUGGCUAAGUUGUGCCCUGGCUCUUGGCCCACAGAAACUGUGAGAUAAUAAAAGUGUGUUGUUUUAAACCAUGAUGUAUUAUGGAUUUGUUACACAGAAAUAGAUAGCUAAUACAACCUCUCUGUCUUCCUAGCUCAGCAUUUGGCAUAUGGAGUGGAAGUCAAGUGUCAGUUGAGUGUAUGAAUGAAUGAAUGGUGAUGGUAACAGGUAAACUCAUCAGGACCUAAGAAAGGCCUAGACAGGCUAGAUCCAAAGAGAGAGCUCUUUCCCAGCACCCACUGCCUGUAUA